rfam:Camelus ferus unplaced genomic scaffold scaffold978, whole genome shotgun sequence.
GAAGGCAGAGCUCAGUGGUAGAGCACGUGCUUAACAUGCCCGAGGUCCUGGGUUCAAUCCCCAGUAUCUCCA